UACGAAGGGGGCUAGCGUUGCUCGGAAUCACUGGGCGUAAAGGGUGCGUAGGCGGGUCUUUAAGUCAGGGGUGAAAUCCUGGAGCUCAACUCCAGAACUGCCUUUGAUACUGAAGAUCUUGAGUUCGGGAGAGGUGAGUGGAACUGCGAGUGUAGAGGUGAAAUUCGUAGAUAUUCGGAAGAACACCAGUGGCGAAGGCGGCUCACUGGCCCGGAACUGACGCUGAGGUGCGAAAGCGUGGGGAGCAAACAGG
rnacentral:rRNA from 1 species